rnacentral:tRNA from 1 species
GCAGUGGUGAUUUAGUGGUAGAAUUCUCGCCUUAGAAGCAGGAAACCCAGAUUGGAGUCCCAGCCAAUGCG